AGAAGAAGAAGAACGGUUUUGUGCAAUAUUAUCAUAGAAACGACAAAAGUAUAUCUCGGCGAACGACAAGAGGCGAGAUGCAUCCAUCAAUCAUACACGCUGGAGGCCGGUUAGAGAGGACAGCCUUCUCCGGUGCAGAGUGGGGUUGUCCUCUCUGUCCAAAGUUUAGAAGCACACGAGAGCACACAGUAUGGCAACACCUGGAUGCCCAUAUGACCAGCGCGGUGUCUUUCCAAGAUACCAUCAUCUGUAACUUAUAAUGGAAGUCUUUGGUAAGUUUGGGGUAAAAAAUAAAAAAUAAAAAUAGUUCCACACCCACACAAAGACACACUAAGAGGGAAGGUGACACACCAACAUGAUGCAAACACACUGAUACCAUCUAUCAAUGCA